rnacentral:rRNA from 1 species
CCUACGGGCGGCAGCAGUGAGGAAUAUUGGUCAAUGGGCGGGAGCCUGAACCAGCCAAGCCGCGUGAGGGAAGAAGGUCCAGCGUAUCGUAAACCUCUUUUGUCAGGGAACAAAGGCGGGCACUAGUCCCCGGAUGAGGGUACCUGAAGAAAAAGCAUCGGCUAACUCCGUGCCAGCAGCCGCGGUAAUACGGAGGAUGCGAGCGUUAUCCGGAUUUAUUGGGUUUAAAGGGUGCGCAGGCGGCCUGUUAAGUCAGCGGUAAAAGCCUGGGGCUCAACCCCGGCGAGCCGUUGAAACUGGCGGGCUUGAGUUGAGGAGAAGUACGCGGAAUGCGCGGUGUAGCGGUGAAAUGCUUAGAUAGCGCGCAGAACCCCGAUUGCGAAGGCAGCGUACCGACUCCACACUGACGCUGAGGCACGAAAGCGUGGGUAUCGAACAGGAUUAGAUACCCUUGUAGUC